AAAUUUGCAGAAUUGCUCUUGCAUCUGGAGGCUGCUUGAGGCCGCGGGCCAGCCCAGGUUCCCGUGACGUUGGUUCGAGGAGGGCGGCUAGGCGGAGGAUGAGUCUCCAUCAAGUUUGAUGAGUAAAUGGAAAAUGGCGGCUGAAUCUCCGUCAGAGGCCGGUCGAUCAAUGCAGUGGUGGAAUUGGCAAAAGAGGAGAGAUGGUGAGGAAAAGGGUUUCGAAGUUUGGGGAUUUUUUCAUUUUUGUAAUUAGAUUGUUG
rnacentral:lncRNA from 1 species